UACACUCCUGCGGGAGGCAGCAGUGGGGAAUAUUGCACAAUGGGCGCAAGCCUGAUGCAGCCAUGCCGCGUGUAUGAAGAAGGCCUUCGGGUUGUAAAGUACUUUCAGCGGGGAGGAAGGCGAUAAGGUUAAUAACCUUGUUGAUUGACGUUACCCGCAGAAGAAGCACCGGCUAACUCCGUGCCAGCAGCCGCGGUAAUACGGAGGGUGCAAGCGUUAAUCGGAAUUACUGGGCGUAAAGCGCACGCAGGCGGUCUGUCAAGUCGGAUGUGAAAUCCCCGGGCUCAACCUGGGAACUGCAUUCGAAACUGGCAGGCUAGAGUCUUGUAGAGGGGGGUAGAAUUCCAGGUGUAGCGGUGAAAUGCGUAGAGAUCUGGAGGAAUACCGGUGGCGAAGGCGGCCCCCUGGACAAAGACUGACGCUCAGGUGCGAAAGCGUGGGGAGCAAACAGGAUUAGAUACCCCGGUAGUCCCAUG
rnacentral:rRNA from 1 species